AUCUUUGAUAGUAACAUGCCUCCAAACCAGACGGUUUUUAGUCUGGAAGAUGAGAUAGGGCAUGAAGCUGCAGUCCCUCCCCUUGCCUUUUUGAACUCUAGACUGAAAAAAAAAAGGAUUCCAGAGUUUCUACACGUUCACAGGAGCAGGAAUUCACUAACAUCAGACAGACGUAUGAUGCCAGAGCUUCAAAUCCAGCUAAUGUCAACAGGGAAAACUCUCAGGGAACCAGCACCCUUUGAAGAUGUGAUUCCUAUCAAGCCAGAACCAGAUGAUCUCAUCGAUGAAGACCUCCAUUCUGUGCAAGAGAAUUCCUUAUCUCAGCAGAAACCUACAGUGACACAUACAUACGGUUCUUCUCAUCCUUCUACUGAGAUUUAUCAACCAUCUGCAAGUAGAAAUUCAAAUACAGGUACUCAUUUAAAGAGGCUGAGACUUCAGCAGUUGCAAAACAGGUUUCACAGAGAAGCAACUGGAUUACAGAAGGGCCAGUAUAAAACUACACAUUUGUGUGAGCCAGAAGUGCUUAGCAGCAUAGAAGAAACUUACAGUCCCUUCUUCAAAAACAACUUAGAUAAAUUAGUAUUGAGGACAAAAAUUCUCAGGAAAGAACAUUGCCUGCUGUAAGCUUAGUUGUUAAAGUAAAAUAACAACAAAGACAAAAAAAUCAGUCAUGAUGGAGGAGAGUAGGAAGAUACUGGCUAUGUCUCCUAAACAGGAAGCAUGUCCAGUAACAUGUCUGUACCAGUAAAGCCUGAGUUCCACAGAAAUAGACAUUGCCGGUUGCUCCCAGAACUUCUUUUCAAGAAAAAUUACUAGCAGAAAUAGUCCAGGAAACAAAGGGAGAUAAAUCAGAGGUGAAUUAAAAUUACUAGGACAUGGAAUCUAUGGUCCAUGCAGACCAAAGAUCUUUAUUCUGAAGAAGUCAAAGCUGUCUGAGGAAAACCAAACAUGAGUGUGGGAUAAAGUGUAUAGAUACCCUUUGGGUAUCUUUCAGGACACCUUAUGCAGAUACAAAAUAUUGUACAAUCAGAUAAAGCUGCAAGUUCCAAGUUUAUAGUGACACUGGAUGGUGUCCCCAGCCCACCAGGAUACGUGUCAGAUCAAGAGGAGAUGUGCUUUGAAUGAAAUGGGUACACCAAACUGCAGCCUCAAAUGAGGGACUGGGCAGUCUCCCCCCCACAGUGGUGCAGCUGAUGUUCAGAUAGCUUGAUUACCUGAGUGUGGCAGAGAAACCAGAAAAACUUUGGAGCACAGCAAAGUAUUGCCUUGCUUGCAAAACUGAGGAUGAGUAUGUAGAUCACCAUUCCACUUUUGAUUUUUCAAAGCCUUCCCCCAUUGUAAAUUUGCUGGAAAAUGUUUAUUUGUGCAUCCAAAUUAUAAAUAUUGUGUAUUUAUGUGUAGGAAACCAGAUUGCCCUUCACUCACAUGAGUAAAAUUCCCAUACUAGUUCCAUCACCAGUACCAUCUUCUAAAUGGGCAGCUCUUCUGUUACUUCCCAGCUUGUAAGAAAAUGGAAUGUCCCUUCUACCAUCCAAUACACUGCAGGCUUAAUACUCAGUGUGUAGGAACAGACUUUAUCAUCUCAUCAUUAAUUACUGUGCCAUAAGACACGUCUUCAAAUGAAUUUGACUUCAAAACAGU